rnacentral:rRNA from 1 species
AGAAAAUAGAUACCCGGGUAGUCCUGGCCCUAAACGCUGCUCGCUCGUUCUACGGAGUAUCGACCCUCUGUGGGACCAAAGCUAAACGCGGUAAGCGAGCCGCCUGGGUAGUACGAUCGCAAGAUUAAAACUCAAAGGAAUAGACGGGGACUCGCACAAGUGGUGGAUUAUGUGGCUUAAUUCGUCGACAAACGAAGAACCUUACCAAGGUUAGAAAUCCAGCUGCAUCUUUGGUGAAAAGCCGAAGAGCCUUCGAGGGUGCUGGACAGGUGAUGCAUGGUCGUCGUCAGUUCGUGGUUUGAACUGUUCCCUUCAGUGGGGUAACGAACGCAACCCCCGUUGCCUGUUAUAUAUGUCAGGCGAGACUGCUCCCUCACGGGAGAGGAAGGUGGGGAUGACGCCAGAUCAGCAUGUCCCUCUGAUACCUUGGGCCGCACACAUAAUACAAUGGUCGAUACAGAAGGAUGCGAUACCGCAAGGUGGAGCAAAUCCCGAAAACUCGUCCUCAGUACGGAGUUGAGGUCUGCAA